rnacentral:tRNA from 1 species
GGCGCGGGAGCGCAGUUGGUAGAGCAACGGAUUGAAGCUCCAUGUGUCGGCGGUUCGAUUCCGUCUCGCGCCC